AACUUUCGGCAACGGAUCUCUUGGCUCUCGCAUCGAUGAAGAACGCAGCGAAAUGCGAUAAGUAAUGUGAAUUGCAGAAUUCAGAGAAUCAUCGAAUCUUUGAACGCACCUUGCACCCUUUGGCAUUCCGAAGGGUAUGCUCGUUUGAGUGUCAUUGUACUCUCAUGCUCCCGAUGCUUUUGGAUCGGGAGUGGUGGACUUGGGUGUUGCUGCUUUACUGUGGCUCACCUCAAAUGGAGUAGUGCAACUCUUGGUUGGACAUAGUACGGCGUGAUAAGUGUCUUCGCCGGCGCCUCAUUAGAGGGUGGCCGAUCGGGAGCUCUGUGCUUCAAACCGUCUUCGGACAACAUCUGACAACUUGACCUCAAAUCGAGUAGGACUACCCGCUGAAUUUAAGCAUAUCAAUAAGCGGAGGCU
rnacentral:misc_RNA from 1 species